CAGCCGCCGCGGUAAUACCGGCGGCCCGAGUGGCGGUCACUAUUAUUGGGCUUAAAGCGUCCGUAGCCGGGUUGGGAAGUCCUCCGGGAAAUCUGGCCGCUUAACGGUCAGAAUGCCGGAGGAUACUCCCAGCCUAGGGAGCGGGAGAGGCCGAGGGGAUUCCCGGAGUAGGGGUGAAAUCCUAUAAUCCCGGGAGGACCACCUGUGGCGAAGGCGCUCGGCUGGAACGCGUCCGACGGUGAGGGACGAAGGCCAGGGGAGCAAACCGGAUUAGAUACCCGGGUAGUCCUGGCUGUAAACGAUGCGGACUUUGUGUCGGACAAGCUAUGAGCUUGUCCGGUGCCGGAGGGAAACCGUUAAGUCCGCCGCCUGGGGAGUACGGCCGCAAGGCUGAAACUUAAAGGGAUUGGCGGG
rnacentral:rRNA from 1 species